UACAGAGGUCCCAAGCGUUGUUCGGAUUCACUGGGCGUAAAGGGUGCGUAGGUGGUGAGGUAAGUCGGAUGUGAAAUCUCCGAGCUCAACUCGGAAAUGGCAUUGGAAACUACCUUGCUCGAGGGUUGGAGGGGGGACUGGAAUACUUGGUGUAGCAGUGAGAUGCGUAGAUAUCAAGUGGAACACCAGUGGCGAAGGCGAGUCCCUGGACAACUCCUGACACUGAGGCACGAAAGCUAGGGGAGCAAACAGG
rnacentral:rRNA from 1 species